rnacentral:rRNA from 1 species
GAUGAACGCUGGCGGCGUGCUUAACACAUGCAAGUCAAGCGAGUGAGUUCUUCGGAACGAUCUAGCGGCGGACGGGUGAGUAACACGUGGGCAACCUGCCUCAUAGAGGGGAAUAGCCUCCCGAAAGGGAGAUUAAUACCGCAUAACAUCGUUGAAGGGCAUCCUUCGAUGAUCAAAGGAGCAAUCCGCUAUGAGAUGGGCCCGCGGCGCAUUAGCUAGUUGGUGAGGUAACGGCUCACCAAGGGGACGAUGCGUAGCCGACCUGAGAGGGUGAUCGGCCACAGUGGGACUGAGACACGGCCAGACUCCUACGGGAGGCAGCAGUGGGGAAUAUUGCACAAUGGGGGAAACCCUGAUGCAGCAACGCCGCGUGAGUGAUGACGGCCUUCGGGUUGUAAAGCUCUGUCUUUGGGGACGAUAAUGACGGUACCCAAGGAGGAAGUCACGGCUAACUACGUGCCAGCAGCCGCGGUAA